CAUAUCAGCCUGUCAUGUUGGACGUGUAGAUAUCGUCAAAAAGCCCUAUUAGGUGCGGCUAGGGUUUUGAAACAGUAUCUUUGAAUAACUAGGGUUUAUUGUUCUCUAUAAAUCGCGCCAUUGGCACAAAACGAGUGCAUUGCCGUUCCUUCCCCUGCCCUACGCUAGGUUUGUUCAACCUUUUCUCUCCGUGCUUUCUCUAUUUUUUUGUUUCGCACAUUGGAGAUCUAAUAGGCUCUUUCCUCCCGAUUCUUACCAUUUAGAAACGGAUGCUGUGAUAUAAUUUCUCAGAUAGUAUAGAUCUAAUUGUUUCUGUGUUCGUAUAUCUUUCUAGAAUCUUGAUAUCUUUUUGUUGAAGUCUUCGAGUUGGUGAAAGCAUUUUUAUUGGAUGAUUCUUUCGAUGAAGUUAUUCAAUCUGUUCUUCGACGCGUAUGAUAAGGCUUGGUUGCGAUGAUUAUAAAAUUUUUAUGUUCUGAAUGCUAAUGCCAUGGCAUGACAGACACUUUACACCCAUAGAAUAUGAGCAUCGUGCCUUCAGUUUUUUUUUUUUUAAUACUCUUUGGUUCUGUUCUUCUCUGCUUUACGUUACUGGAAUCUUCCUUAAAUGAUUAUACCUCUAGCUUCAUUAGAUUCAAUCUCUUCAUUAGAUUCACUUGUUUGAUUAAUUUGAUUGACUGAGAUUCGAGUUGUAUAUGUGUAGCUGUAUUAUUGAAUUGUUUGUUACUCUAGUUGAGGCAGAACCAUAGCAUAUUGUUUCUUGUUCUAAUUGUUGGAUGAUAGCCCCUCUCGCCUAAUUUAGGGAAUGAUCUUGAGUUUAUAAUCAAGGAAUAUUUUUUCCAUUGGUAUGAUGCCUUUUUGUGAGCCCAAAGGAAAACCAUGAGAGCUUAUACUCAAAGUGGAUAAUACCAUACCAUUGUGUAGAGUUGUGUAGAGUAGUGUUCAUCUAACAUGACAUCAGACCCAUGCUCUAAAUUUAGCCAUGUCAAUUGAAUGCUCAAAUGUUGAACAAAGAACUCCAAAAGAAAAAGGAGUUGAGGCUCCUCGAAGGCAUAGUAAAAAAUGGCUAAGACUCCAAAAGGAGUUGGUCCUUAAUUAAGGGGAGGCAUACUUUGAUCAAGGGGAGGUGUUGGAUGAAAGUCCCACAUAAGACUCAUUUAGGGAAUGAUCAUGGGUUUAUAAUCGAGGAAUACUAUCUCCAAUAUUGGUACGAGGUAUUUUAGGGAAGCUCAAACCAAAACUACGAGAGCUUAUGCUCAAAGUAGAUAAUAUCAUAUCGUUGUGGAGAGUUUGUUCAUUUAACACAAAUGAUAUUGUUCUAUUAUCGACUCGAGUAAGUCUUGUUUAGAUGACACUAUUUUUGGAUACUCUUGUUGGAUAUAUAAUCGUAUAUUCACAGGGCAUGUUCUCGAACUGCAUUGUGUGUCUCUGCAAGUCCUAUGAAGAUAUUGGAGGUGGUGCUUAAAGCUCUAACUUGGCAGUUUUUCUGUACAAUUGUAUAUAUUGAGCUUUUGUGGUCAUACAUACAGCCAUAAAUUCAACCAUAUGAGUCAUAAUUUAAAUUAAUAUAUUCCAAUAUAUUAUGUUUUAUCUAUAUAUUAAAAACCAGCGGAUUCAAAAUCGGGUCGGGUUGACCUUGAACCCGGAACCCAGUAGCCCAAUAAGUAGCGCAACAUAAACUCGCCUCAUGGCCCAAGCCCAUCGCAAUCUAUAAUCCAGAACCACGCAGAUGUGGCCCACGACACUUGGUCUAAUCUUGUGCCCAAUGUCUUCUAGCGCAGGCUCUCAGCUCAAUUACAACAGAUGCAUGGCCCACUAGCGGAAUGUAGCUUGCUCUAUUAUCGCAAGUGAACGACCUGUCACCCGCACACUGACCCGAGGAUCCAACCGCGCCUCCCCCACAUGUGGCGCGUUUGCUAGCCGUAGCUCAACCACGGCUAGACCAACGUUCGUCUCCCAUGUUCCUCGGCGGCUCUAACAUGUUGCAACUCCGUGGGCCAUAUAGAUUGACUUGUGUUCUAAAGGAUAGACUUAAACUACCAUGAGGAUAAAUGAGUGAUUUUGACUCAGGUCAACUAUGUAAAUGCAUUCAUUGUUGGAUUGGUUGAACGAUUGAUGCAUAAACCUUCCUAUGCCAUGCCAUUUAAAAUAUGUUAACAUGUUAUCUUAAUGCAUACGAGACAUAAGGAAGUCAUGUACGCUGGACAUUCAUGCACCAUGCCAUAUAAAAUUUUAGGGAAGCCACGCUU